rnacentral:rRNA from 1 species
GACGAACGCUGGCGGCGUGCUUCAUACAUGCAAGUCGAACGAGAAGCUGACUUCGGUCAGUGGAAAGUGGCGGACGGGUGAGUAAUAUGUAGGAAAUCUGCCUUUAGGAGGGGGACAACAGAGGGAAACUUCUGCUAAUACCCCAUAUGAGCGUAGCUGAAAUGCUAUUCUUGAAAACUCCGGUGCCUAAAGAUGAGCCUGCAUCUGAUUAGCUAGUUGGUAGUGUAAUGGACUACCAAGGCGACGAUCAGUAGCUGGUCUGAGAGGAUGAUCAGCCACAAGGGAACUGAGACACGGUGGAGAAUCGUAAGGGAGGCAGAAGGGGGGAAUAUUGGCAAAUGGGAGAAAGGCUGAUGCAGGCAUGGCGCGUGGGUGAAGAAGGUCUUCGGAUGGGAAAGCACGGUAAGGUGGGAGGAAGGGAAGUAAGUGAAGAUAUUGCUGUGGGGGCGUGACCAAAAGAAGAAGCACCGGCUAACUUCGUG